GGUUGUUGCUGGUUCUCUAGGGAGCAUGUGCACGCCUUGUCAUCUUUAUAUCUCCACCUGUGCACCUUUUGUAGACCUUCCAGGUCUAUGUUUCUUCAUUUACACCAAUGUAUGUUAAUAGAAUGUUGUGCCUAUAAAAUAAUAUAUACAACUUUCAGCAACGGAUCUCUUGGCUCUCGCAUCGAUGAAGAACGCAGCGAAAUGCGAUAAGUAAUGUGAAUUGCAGAAUUCAGUGAAUCAUCGAAUCUUUGAACGCACCUUGCGCUCCUUGGUAUUCCGAGGAGCAUGCCUGUUUGAGUGUCAUUAAUAUAUAUAUCAACCUUCUCUUGUUGAAUGGUUUGGAUGUGGGGGUUUGCUGGCCUCUUAAAGGGUUCAGCUCCUCUGAAAUGCAUUAGUAGAACAAACCUGUUCAUUGGUGUGAUAAAUAAUACGCUAUUGAAUGUCAGGGGCAGUUCAGCUUUCUAACAGUC
rnacentral:rRNA from 1 species